CACGAACGCUGGCGGCAGGCUUAACACAUGCAAGUCGAACGCCCUAGCAAUAGGGAGUGGCAGACGGGUGAGUAACACGUGGGAACCUUCCCAGUAGUACGGAAUAGCCCAGGGAAACUUGGAGUAAUACCGUAUACGCCCGAAAGGGGAAAGAUUUAUCGCUACUGGAUGGGCCCGCGUUGGAUUAGCUAGUUGGUGAGGUAACGGCUCACCAAGGCGACGAUCCAUAGCUGGUCUGAGAGGAUGACCAGCCACACUGGGACUGAGACACGGCCCAGACUCCUACGGGAGGCAGCAGUGGGGAAUCUUGGACAAUGGGCGCAAGCCUGAUCCAGCCAUGCCGCGUGAGUGACGAAGGUCUUCGGAUUGUAAAGCUCUUUUGGCGGGGACGAUAAUGACGGUACCCGCAGAGUAAGCCCCGGCUAACUUCGUGCCAGCCGCCGCCGUAAUAC
rnacentral:rRNA from 1 species